CCUACGGGAGGCAGCAGUGAGGAAUAUUGGUCAAUGGACGAGAGUCUGAACCAGCCAAGUAGCGUGAAGGAUGACUGCCCUAUGGGUUGUAAACUUCUUUUAUAAGGGAAUAAAAUGUGCCACGUGUGGCAUUUUGUAUGUACCAUAUGAAUAAGGAUCGGCUAACUCCGUGCCAGCAGCCGCGGUAAUACGGAGGAUCCGAGCGUUAUCCGGAUUUAUUGGGUUUAAAGGGAGCGUAGGUGGAUUGUUAAGUCAGGUGUGAAAGUUUGCGGCUCAACCGUAAAAUUGCAGUUGAAACUGGCAGUCUUGAGUACACUAGAGGUAGGCGGAAUUCGUGGUGUAGCGGUGAAAUGCUGAGAUAUCACGAAGAACGCCGAUUGCGAAGGCAGCUUACUGGAGUGCAACUGACGCUGAGGCUCGAAAGUGCGGGUAUCAAACAGGAUUAGAGACCCGAGUAGUC
rnacentral:rRNA from 1 species